AACUGUAAAUCAAGAAAAAUAAACCUCAUAUUCAAUAAAAUUAAUAUAAAAAGAGCUAGGACAACAACAUGCAACAAUAAAUAAUAAAGAAAUUAUAUAAUUAUUAAUUACGUACCGCAACCAAAAGAUGGAAGGUUGCACUGAGAAGUAAGUUGAGAAGCGAUUCUAAGAGUGUUACAGAGACAAUCACGGUUGGUUGCUUGAAGUGCAUUGCAGCAAUCAGCACUAGGGUCAGUGUUGGAUGCACCAGGCACAACAAAUGGUGCACAAACAUUCAGAUUGGUAAGCUGAACUGGACAACUAUUACUCUGUGCCUCACCCAUUUUCACAUGAGUUCCUAAUGCCACAGCCAAAAGUAGCAUCACUGCAACUUGACACCUCAUUGAAACAAUACCUGCCAUGAUAAUUUUCUAGUUAUUAAACUUGUUUAUCAAAGGUAUGUGAUGUAUGACAUGAAAUGUCCCCAAUUUAUAGUUCAUUGUGUUGAAAACUUGGUUAUUUUCAUGAGUGACCUAACUAGAGUUUUUCGGCUCACAAUAUUUGUGUUGAAAUUGAAAAGCCAGCAUGACACUAUUGGAAGGAUUAAAUUCAUCGAAAUAUCACACAAGAAAGACAUCACGCUUUAAAAACAAUUUUUUUUUAUAUUUUUAAAAAUGAUUUUUUUUUUAAAUAUUACAAUAUUUUAUUACAUAAAUAUAUUAUUGAACAUUAAAGCACAAUCAUAAUCGUAUUUUAAAAAAAAAAUAUAUUUCAAAAUAAAUUUUAUGAAAAAUUAUUUGAAAUAAAUUCAAAACUAAAGUAAUUUUUUUAAAAUUUCAUAUUUAAGAAUUUUUUUUAAUAAAAUGAUGAUAUACUUAAAAUAAUAUUUAAGAAUAACUAUUCAAACUAAAUUUUUAUAAAAAAAAAAUUUAUAUAUUUUUUUAAACAAAAAUAUAUAAAACUAUAGGAAUUAAUUUAAAGAAAAAUAAAUAAAUUGACCUUUAAUUUAAAAUGGAAGUGGUUCUUCAAGUGGAGAAAGUUCUAGCUCAAGCGAGGAAUCGGCAAAGAUAUGUUACAUGACCAACAAAGGAAAGAAAAAGAAUGUAAGUCACUUUAAGCCUAAAUCUACUAAUGACUUAUCUUAUUCUCAAUUGCAAGAAUAUUUUGAAAAUCUACAAAGACAAAUCAUAGAAGCUUUCAAAAAGCUUGCUUCAAACAAAAUUUUCUUUUCUCAUUUGCGAGCUAAAAUGUUGGAAAAUGAAAAGAAUAUGGAAGCUCUAAGAAAAUACAUGAUAGAUAUGUUAAAAGAUAAAUGUGAUGAUAAUAAAACCUCAUGGUUUGGGAGUGAGACUUGUCAUAUUUGACAAAAAUAAUCAAGAGAUCUUAAAGCCAAGUCGAACAAGACUUUGCAACCCAAAGUCACUUUUGCUAUUGACACUUUAAAAUAUGACAUGCCUUCUCAUAAUCUUUAUAGAAGGUAUAAUUAUAUUGAAAAGAGUUCAAAUAGCAAAAAAGUAUCUUCUCACAAUGUUUAUUGCCAUUAUUGUUGCACGAAGGGUCAUACCACUGUAAAGUGUAACUUUAAGAGACUCUUGGUCCCCAAUGACACUCAUCAAUGGUUGCCUAAAUGCAACCAAGAUUUCACUAAUCGUCAAGGACCCAAUGAAGAUUAGGCACCUAGCACUAGUCGUUGAUCUUGAAAGAUAAAUGUCUUGGCACUAUGAAGAGAGUAUGAGAUCUCGUUCGUGGAAGCUCAAGAGAUAAUACUUGUGACACUUCUCUAUUUCUUGACUUUGUGACAAAGAAGAUAGAAUGUGUUACUAAAGAGGUUAAUGGUAAGUGCUCUUUUAAUUAGUAAAAGUGUAUUGACUAUUACUAAUUAAUUCUAUCCGAGAAGUGUCGGAAAAGGGUAUUGUUCUUAAUGAUGUAGGUUAUCUUCGACAAAGACAUACUCAAGUUCAUCAAAUUAGGGAUUAAUCAACCUAAAAUGAGAAAUGUGAGGAGGAGCAAGAUGAUUGUCAUAAUUGAACAAGAUUGAAAUUCCAGCUAUUACGAUAUUCAUUAAGUUAAUGAGAUUCUUGGUUACAUUAUUAAUAACACUCUCAAAUACUUGUACAAAGAGAAAAGUGGUAAGAUCAUUUUGGUUAUGUUUGUGUUUGUGACACUUAUUGCGUUCAUUUCAACUUUCGUUCGAAAGUCUCUCGUGGAAUACUUGUGCAUCCUUCGUAUGAUCCGUAUGAUGAUGUUAUAUCGUUUCAAUCCUUUUUCUUAUUUCGUGAGUCAGUAUUUCUUUACUUGUUUAUUUUUUUAAGGUAUAUAAUGUAGUAUGUGUAUGACAUGUGUAGUAUUUGUUCACUUCCAAAAAUUUCAAUGCAACCAUUGUGUGUUUCAUUUCAUAUGUUUAUAGUGGCUAUAUACUAAGUGUCAUCAUACUUGAUCUAUAUCUUUUACCAUUUCAUGCUUACUGUUGUGUUUGUAUGUUAAUUGCUUUGAAAUAAUUAAAUCAUUGCAUAUGCAUAGUCUCUUAUUCAUUACUCAUGAAUAAGUCAUUGUGAGUCAUCAAAAAUUAUCUCAUAAGUCAUAAAUGUGAAUUUUUUCAAGUUUUGUCCAUAAUGCACCGACACGUGGUCGUAUAAGUCGAUGCACAAUUUUGAAUUUUUGUAUUUGUCAAAAAUACUUUAGGAUGUCUCGGCACAUCCGUGGAUAGGUCGGCCUAUAGAAUUAAUUUUUCUAUUCUUGAUUAAACGCUUCAGUAUAUGCUGACACAUAACUUUAACAGGUCGGCACAUUAACUCAGAGGUCGACUCAUAUUCUAUCUUUAGUCCAAAACUCUUCAUUUCACAUUCAUGUAUCCAAAGCUCUCAAAUCUCCAAGCUUCAUCUCAUCUCAUAAUAGUCAUUCAAUCUCAUUAAAUCUUAUUUGUCUCUCUCAAUCCAUUGCAUCUUUAUUCACAUUUUCAUCAAAUCUCUUCCAUUUAUCUUAUUUUUCUCUCUUGUUCUUUCAAAAGCCCUCUUUUCACCCUAAGUCACAAAAGUUCCAAGUUCUUACUUGUUUUUGGAUUAUCUUCUCAUCUUUGUGUGUUGCUGUGAUUGUGUGUCUUGCUUGAGUGUGUGGAUAUUCAAAAAUAUUUCAUACUCAUUCAUUCUUCAUUCAAACAUUUCAUCAAACAUCUGGUAUGCACACUUUCAUUUCAAUUUUUUCCAUGGCUUCAAAGAUUUCUAAGUACAAGAUUGAUGCUAAGGGUAAAAUCAAGGCUACUACCUCUACUAUUGUUGCUGAAAAAUCCAUUUACUUUGGUUUCCAAGAAGUAUGUCAAGGAUUUUGAGUUAAAGCACCAAACUCGUCUUGUAGUGAAACAAUUUAUGUGGAAGCAGGUUACAGUUGGCUGUUUGAAUAUACCUGAUGUUGUUAAGCUUGUUGAGCAUCAACAAGAUUACAAUAAGGAUAUUAUUAGUGUAUUCUACUCAGGUCUACAUGAAAAACAAGGUUCUUUCUUUAGGUUUUCGAUAGGUAACAAAGUUUAUCAAUUUACCAACGAUUUACGGAAAACUUUGUUUGGGAUUACUGUGGGUGAUGUUGAUGCGGAUGAUGAGGUUGAUCUGUUGGUAAAUGAUCUUUACACUCAUAUAAAUUUUAAUUGGAGUGUUCAUUUGAAUGAGAUACUAAAGUCUCCUCGUGCCGAGGACUAUUAUGAUCCUAUUACCACUGAUCAUUUCAAGAUGGUGCCAAAAAAUCUGCUAUGGGGGGUAUCUCAUAUCUUGAGGCCAAAGAAUGAUGUGUUUUCGAGAAUUGACAAUGUUGAGAUUCAUUAGGUAUACAUUCUGCUGCAUAAGGUCAAAAUUAACUGGCUUCACUACUUUGUGUCUCGUAUGUUCUCUAUCAAAAAAUACAACAAGGGCACAUCUUUUUGAUAUCCCUCUAUGAUUACUAAGAUUCUAAACUACUUUGACAUUGGUUUGCCGAAUCUCACCUACAAAUCUCUUGCUUCUUCUCAAGAAUUUUCUCACCGUACACAGGUUAACAUGAACUUCGUUUGGGAUGUAAAUCAUCAGGAGUACUAUAUACUCUUGGGUAAGCAUGGAAGGAAGGUGUACAAUUUUGAUGAUCCUAUUGAGUGCGGUGAUGAUGCAGCCGAUGCUCACAUGGAUGAUGAGAAACCUAUGGGGGUUCAUCAUGAUGGUACGGAAGGAGAUGAUGUAAUGCAUGAUUCUCCCCGAGGUGAUGAUCAUGGUGCAGGUUUUGGUACUAAUUAUGCUGAUACUUCCUCUAUUAUGACUAUGCUUCAGGAUAUGCAGACGAAAUAAGACGAGAGAUAUGAUGAGGACUGCAAGUGGCGAGACACAUUUGAAGCUGCAUAAAUGGAGCAAUUAUGUCUGAUGCAGCAACACAUGCCUACUCAAGAUUCCAACUUUGAGGUUUUUGCUUCAUAUGUGAUUUAGUCUUUGGUGUCCUUACGAACUGAUAUGAAUGCUAAUCAUGUUGUUGUUCUAGCCAGGAUUAAUCAUAUGAUUUCAGCCCAAGAAAAAGAUUUUGCGCAUUAUGAAAGGUUUUGCCGUGAAAUGUAUGAUUUCUUGGAUUCUCAGUAUCGCGGUGAAGGACAAGGCUGACAUAGGGGUAUGUCAAGAGGACGUGGGAGGAGAUAAAGUGGAGCUAGACUAAUAUGUUGUGAUAGUGUCUUGGUUUUUAUUUUGUGUCAGUUAGCAUUAAGUCAAAUCAUGUGUGGAGUAUGCAUGCAUUUGUAUUUUGGAUUAUGGUUUGUUUAGCUUUUGGUUCGCAAUUACUACUUAAUUGUUUGAUGUUUAGAAAAUGAUGGUUAUAUGGUUGUUGUGUUAAAUGAUUAUGGCUAUUGUUUUGUUUUUGUUUAUUAAUCUUGUGUGAUUUCAUAUAUUUGAGAGCAUUUCUUAUCUUUGCAAUUUCCUAUGUAUUGUAUAUUGAAUAUGUAAUACUCCUAAUAGAGUGCUUUGCCUCUUUUUGAUGUUGUCAAAGGGGGAGAAAUAUAUGAUACACAUGCACACACUUAGGGGGAGAUUUUCAUAUGAUGCACAUGCACACACUCAGGGGGAUCUUUCCAUGAACAAGAACGCAUCGUCUCAAGUUUUGGCAUCAUAAAAAAGGGGAAGUAUAUGAGUGCAUUCUUCCGUUUAGAUAUGUUUUGAAUGAUGUCAAAACUAGGAAAUGUUGGUGAUUUUAGUAUCACCCAUGAUUUUAGUAGUAAUGAGAUUUACUAUAGGCCGAUGCAAUUAUGCGUUAAAGCUUGGAAACGAGUUAGGAGUAGUGCGGAGUGCACGCUCGUAGAGCCCUAACGUUGAAUUGACUGCAAGUAAUUGAAAACGGGGUUCCAAGGGGCGUAGCCCCUGGCGGGUGCGGGGCAGCGCCCCGCUGGGGUUCCAAGGGGCGAAGCCCCUGGCGGGGUGCGGGGCAGCGCCCUGCGGGGUCCAAGCCGUUAUUACCGUUUUCUUGAAAAGGUAUGACUUUUCGUUUUCAGUUUUCGUUCUCCUAAUAAAGGGGAAAUCUGGCCCGGUUUAGGGUUACACACAAAAAACCAUUCUACGUUCCAGAAUCUUUCUUUUGCCAGAACAUUCUUUCUUCAAGAAUUAUCCCACAAAGAUUUCGUGAACCCAGGCAUAAAUAGGGUCGAAAUACUUUGUUCGGAAAGUGAACGAACACGAUUCUUCGAAGAUUAUCCAGGAUUAUCAAUUAAUUAUCUAACAAACGAACAAAGUAUUCAUCUGAUAAUCAUGGCUGGAGGAAACACCGUCAAGGAGAUGACCAGAAAUUUCGGAAAAUUGGACAAGUUUCAAGGACAAGAUUUCAGGCGUUGGCAGAAGAGAUGCAUUUCAUGUUGACAACGUUGAAGGUGGUGCAUGUCCUAUCUACACCGAUCCAGAAAUUCGGGAAGAUGACACAGUUGAAAUCUGAGACGCAGAUCAAAGUGGGAGAACGACGACUACUUGCAGAGGGCACAUCUUAACGGUAUGUCUGAUCCCUUAUUUGAUUUACCAAAACAUAGAAUCUGCAAAGUCUCGAAUCUGCAAUACAUGGCAGAGGACUCAUCCAGUAAAAAGUUUUCUGACGAUUUCAACAACUACAAAAUGGUUGAAUCAAGUCUGUCAUGGAACAAUUUAAUGAACUCCUCCGAAUCCUUGGACAGUUCACACUACACGGAUUAAAUAUGGAUGAAACAAUAUCUGUCUCAAGCAUCAUAGACAAGUUGCCUCUUCGUGGAAAGAUUUCAAACACAAUCUGAAACAUGGAAAAGACGAACUGUCUUCGAUCCAACUUGGAAGUCACUUGCGCAUAGAAGAAUCUCUAAGAGCGCAGGAGAAACAAAGGAAAGCAAAGAAAUUGCUGGAACCCUCGGUUAAUAGAUCGAAGAGGUGUGGAACGGUAACAACAAAAACAAAGGAAAGAAGCAUGCUUUCAAGGACAAUAAGGGAAGUUUCGGUGCUAACAAGAAACCGAAAUUAGAAUGCUGGAGUGUGGUAAAACAGGCCACUUCAAGAGGGAUUGUCGCUUCGUUAAAAAGCACGAUAACGCGAAUGCAGUGGUCAGGAAAGGGGUCUAAGGACCAAUCCGAAAACCAAGGUCAGAAAUCAAUUCGUGAUUUGAAUAGUUUAAUUAAACAUUCUGUUCACUAAAUUCUGAAGCAUUUUAUGUGCAGGAUGAUGCUACCGAUGGUGGAUUGAUUCUGGCGCCACUACACAUGUUUGCAAGGAUCGUUUCUGGUUCAAGACUUUUGUUCCAGUGGAAGAUGGUUCUGUCCUCUACAUGGGAGAUGAUCACUUCGCUCCCGUUGAGGCAAAGGAAACGUGUGUAGAAUUCAGUUCCGGAAAAACUAUACUUUGUUUAAUGUUUGUAGUUCCUAAAUUACGAAAGAAUUAAUUUCUGGCCCUGUAUUAAAUAAGCUUGGAUACAAGCAAGUGUAUGAAUCAGAUAAAUAUGUAUUAUCAAAGUCUGGUGUGUUUGGAUAUUAUAAUAAUGGUAUGUUUAUGAUGAAUUUGAAUGGAGUUCCUAAUGAUUCUGGUUCUGUAUUUAUGUCCUCUUCGAAUAUUAUCAAUUCUUCGUUAUGGCAUGCUCGUCUAGGACAUGUACAUUAUAAAGAAUGCAUGAAAUGUCUAAAGAUAAAUAUUCCUAAUCUUGAUAAAAUGUAGAAAAGUGUAAAACUUGCAUGUUAACUAAGAUAACUAGGCAACCAUUUAAAAGUAUAACAAGGAAAUCUGUCAUUCUUGAGUUGAUACAUAGUGAUUUAUGUGAUUUACAUGCUACUCCAUCAUUAGGGCAUAAAAAAUUUUGUCACUUUCAUAGAUGACACAUCUAGAUUCUGCUAUGUCAUUUGUUGCACGCUAAGGACGAAGCCUUAGAUAAAUUCAAAAUUAUAAAACUGAAGUUAAGUGCAACAGAAUGUGUUGAUUAAAACAUUACGCACAGAUAGAGGUGGUGAAUAUUAUGAUCCUGUGUUUUCCAAUCCGUAGGAAUCAUUCAUGAGACUACGGCUACUUACACACCUCAACAAAAUGGUGUGGCUGAAAGGAAAAAUAGAGUGCUAAAAGAAAUGGUGAAUGCAUGUUAUCUUACUCUGGUCUGAGUGAAGGAUUUUGGGAGAAGCCAUGUUAACGGCAUGCUAUUUGUUAAUAGAGUUCCCAAUAAAAGGAACAAAACUACCCCAUAUGAAAUUUGGUAUAAGAAACGACCCAACCUGACAUUUCUACGUGUUUGGGGUUGUAGUGGCCUGGUUAGACUCCCGGACCCAAAAAGGAAACUUUGGGUGAAAAGGGUGUAGCUUGCAUCUUUGUUGGAUAUGCCGAGCACUCCAAGGCCUAUAGGUUCUAUGUUAUAGAGCCUAAUGACUCGAUCUCUAUUAACAUAAUUAUAGAAUCGAGAGAUGCCAUAUUUGAUGAGAACUGUUUCUCCUCUGUACCUAGACCAAAGGACUCUAUACCUAUUUCAGAUGAAUCUCUAGAGAUGAUCAUUCAAAUGAUGUGCCAAGUCAAGCACUUGAACCCCGUAGGAGCAAAGAGCUAGAAAAACUAAAUCUUAUGGAUCUGAUUUCUAACUAUAUUUAUUGAGGGAUCAAGGAUCAGAUUGACACUCAAUAUUAUUAUUGCUAUAGUAUUGAAGAGGAUCCAAGAACGUAUGAUGAAGCUAUCAAGUCUCGAGAUUCUGCUUUUUGGAAAGAAGCCAUUGAUGAAGAGAUUGGCUCUAUCAUGGAAAUAAUACUUGGAUACUAUCUGAUUUACCACCAGGUUGCAAACCAUUGGGUUCAAAUGGAUCUUCAAAAAGAAGAUGAAAGUCGAUGGUACAAUUGACAAGUUUAAAGCUAGACUAGUAUCCAAGGCUUCAGACAAAAGGAAGGGAUUGAUUAUUUCGAUACCUAUGCUCCUGUUGCCCGUAUCACUAUUAUUGAUUGUUGAUGCCUUGGCGGCUAUUCAUAAUCUAGUGAUUCACCAAAUGGAUGUCAAAACAGCCUUCCUGAAUGGUCAUUUGGAAGAAGAAGUGUAUAUGAAGCAACCUGAAGGUUUUGUAAUGCCUGGUAAUGAACAUAAAGUGUGUAAACUAUUAAGUCAUUAUAUGGGCUAAAACAAGCUCGAAGCAGUGGCAUCAAAAGUUUGAUGAGGUUGUUUUGUCAAUGGUUUCAUUCUAAACCAAGCUGACAAAUGUGUAUAUAGCAAAUUUGAUACAUCCGGUAAAGGAGUUUUCAUUUGCUUAUAUGUUGAUGACAUGUUGAUCUUUGGCACCGACCAAAAUCAAAUGAUAUAACAAAGAAUUCUUGUCAUCAAAGUCUCCAUGAAAGAUAUGGGAGAAGCGGACGUUAUUCUAGGAAUUAAGUUAAACGGAAAAAAAGGGAUUGUAAUUACGCAAUCUCAUUACAUUGAGAAAAUGCUCAGAAGUUCAAUGUGAAAGUUGUUCUCCAGUAAGUACUCCAAUGGAUCCGGGAGAAAAACUUAUGCCAAAAACGGUAAACCGGUAGAUCAACUCGAAUAUUCAAGGGCUAUAGGCUCUUGAUGUAUGCUAUGAUUAGCACUCGACCGGAUAUUGCUUAUGCGGUUGGAAAGUUGAGCAGAUUUACGAGUAAUCCUAGUCGGCACAUUGCAUGCGAUAACUAGGUAUUCAAGUACUUGAAGGGUACAAUGAAUUAUGGAUUGUCAUAUAUGGGAUUUCCUUCGUGUUAGAGGGUUAUUCGGAUGCUAGUUGGAUAAAUAUGCUGAAGAUUCAUCCUCUACAAGUGGAUGGGUGUUCUUGCUUGGGGAGUGCUAUCUCAUGGGCUUCCAGAAGCAAACAUGUAUAACUGUUCCACAAUGGAAUCUGAGUUUGUAGCAUUAGCUGCUGCUGGUAAAGAAGCAGAAUGGCUAAGGAACUUGGUAUACGAGAUUCCGAUAUGGCCUAAACCGAUAUCACCAAUUUCUAUCCGUUGUGAUAGUACUGCCACAUUGGCUAAAGCUUAUAGUCAAAUAUACAAUGGAAGUCUAGACAUUUGGGUGUCAGACAUAGUAUGAUUAGAGAAUUAAUCAUGAAUGGGGUGAUAUCUAUAGAGUUUGUUCGGUCGCAACAAAACUUAGCUGACCACUUGACAAAGGGUUAGCUAGAGACUUAGUAAAGAAGUCGGUAAUGUGGAUGGAUUAAAGUCCAUUUAAAUCUAUAGCUUUGAUAUACCCAAUUCCCUUCUAAUAUGACGUUAGAAGCAGAAUUCAAUGUGGAAAGAUCAUAGUUAAAGAUUGGAGCAAUUAUAUUUAUCUUCCAGGGUAUGUGCUCAGACCUGCAAGUGAUAGGUAGGUUGAAGUAUAUCUUCUUAAUGGUUUCUUUGAAAAAUUGUAAAUGCAGGUACAAGAUUAAAAGAAUCACCUAUGUAAGCAUGAAGUUUGUGCUUCAAGAAGUUUGGACUGGCUUCCUAUAUGCUUAUUAAUGGAUAAGGACACAUGGCUUGUAAAGUGUCAAGUAUGAAUAGUAGAGUAUUGUAAGAAACAUAUGUGUACUAUAUCUUCUGACAUUCAAAUGGAUUGACGGGUUCAAUCGCUAUGACACCAGAUUUUCGAGUGUUGAAAUGUGUAUUUGUACUAAAAUGAAAAUUCAAUCGCAAGACAUUUUCGUUUAUGCAUCUGUUUGAUUGUAAAUACCCUUAUAUAUUUUAUGUUAUAUUAAGUAAAUCAAGGAUUACACUAAAAUGGGGGGGAUUUGUUGGUGAUUUUAUAUCACCCAUGAUUUUAGUAGUAAUGAGUUUACUAUAGGCCGAUGCAAUUAUGCGUUAAAGCUUGGAAACGAGUUAGGAGUAGUGCGGAGUGCACGCUCGUAGAGCCAACGUGUAAUUGACUGCAAGUAAUUGAAAACGGGUUCCAAGGGCGUAGCCCUGGCGGGGUGCGGGCAGGCGCCCGCUGGGGUUCCAAGGGGCGAAGCCCUUGGCGGGUGCGGGCAGCGCCCUGCCGGGUCCAAGCCGUUAUUACCGUUUUCUUGAAAAGGUAUGACUUUUCGUUUUCAGUUUUCGUUCUCCUAUAAAGGGGGAAAUCUGGCCUCGGUUAGGGUUACACACAAAAAACCAUUCUACGUUCCAGAAUCUUUCUUUGCCAGAAACAUUCUUUCUUCAAGAUUAACCAACAAAGAUUUCGUGAACCCAGGCAUAAAUAGGGUCGAAAUACUUUGUUCGGAAAGUGAACGAACACGAUUCUUCGAAGAUUAUCCAGGAUUAUCAAUUAAUUAUCUAACAGGAAAUAACAUUUAUGUACAUUGGACGGUAUUAUCCGAGUCUAACGAUGGAUUUUAGCGUUCUUGCAUUAGGAAACAUGUUCUUGCAUUAGGAAGCAUGUCACCAUUGUUGGAAAUGGUCUGGAAGAUAUUUGUGUAUCAAAAUAUUGUGUUGAGCAUGAGAAAUCCUCAUUAUAGGUCGACACAUACGACUACAAGUCGACCCAUAUAUGACUUUUUUAAACUUCAGGUUGUUACAUACGUUGCAGUAUUAAAGUCUGCAGCUUCUAUCUCAUGUGUCGAGUCUUCAGGUCGGCCUAUAGGCAGCACAUAACAUUACAGGUCAACACAUGCUUCCAACAUGUCGAACAUAGGUCAUACACUACCGAAGAAGGAAAAUCACAACUCUCUUUAUUUCAUAGCAAAGAUUACUACAUCAUGUGAUCAUAAUAUCACAAAACAUUGAAAACAAAGUCACCAAACUAGAUGGGUGCAGCUUCUCUCAACCCUUUAUUCUUCAUUGAUCACAUCACCACGCUCUAAUUUAGAACUGUAAAUCAAGAAAAAUAGAAAUCAUAUUUAAUAAAAUUAAUAAAAAGAAAGCGCUAGAACAAGAACAUGCAAUAAUAAAUAAAAAAGAAAUUAUGUGAUUAUUAAUUACGUACCGCAACCAAAAGAUGGAAGGUUGCACAAAGAAGUAAGUUGAGAACCGAUUCUGAGAGUGUUACAGAGACAAUCACGGUUGGUUGCUUGAAGUGCAUUGCAGCAGUCAGCACUAGGGUUAGUGUUGGAG
rnacentral:lncRNA from 1 species